rnacentral:rRNA from 1 species
UCGCCUGUUUAACAAAAACAUGGCCUUUUGUUAUUUUAUAUAAGGUCUAACCUGCCCAAUGAUUUUUAAAUGGCCGCGGUAUCCUAACCGUGCGAAGGUAGCAUAAUCAUUUGUCUCUUAAUUAGAGGCUGGAAUGAAUGGUUGGACGAGAUAUACACUUUCUUUGGUAUAUUUUUAUGAAUUUUAUUUUUAAGUCAAAAAGCUUAAAUUUUUUUAUAGGACGAGAAGACCCUAUAGAACUUUAUAUAUUCUAUAUAAAUAACCUAUUUUGAUUAUUAUCUAGUUAUUUUUAUAAACUAUAUUUUGUUGGGGCGACAGGGAGAUUUUUUUAACUCUUUUUUUUUAAUUCACUGAUUAGUGUUUAUUUGAUCCCACAUUGUGGAUUAUAAGAUUAAGUUACCUUAGGGAUAACAGCGUAAUUUCUUUGGAGAGUCCUUAUCGAUAAAGAAGUUUGCGACCUCGAUGUGGGAUUAAAA